rnacentral:rRNA from 1 species
AUUGAACGCUGGCGGCAGGCCUAACACAUGCAAGUCGAACGGUAACAGAAAGCAGCUUGCUGCUUUGCUGUCGAGUGGCGGGCGGGUGAGUCAUGUCUGUGAAACUGCCUGAUGGAGGGGGAUAACUACUGGAAACGGUACCUAAUACCGCAUAACGUCGCAAGACCAAAGAGGGGGACCUUCGGGCCUCUUUCCAUUGGCUGUGCCCAGAUGGGAUUAGCUAGUAGGUGGGGUAACGGCUCACCUAGGCGACGAUCCCUAGCUGGUCUGAGAGGAUGACCAGCCACACUGGAACUGAGACACGGUCCAGACUCCUACGGGAGGCAGCAGUGGGGAAUAUUGCGCAAUGGGCGCAAGCCUGAUGCAGCAAUGCCGCGUGUAUGAAGAAGGCCUUCGGGUUGUAAAGUACUUUCAGCGGGGAGGAAGAGAUUAAUGUUAAUACCUUGGCUCAUUGACGUUACCCGCAGAAGAAGCACCGGCUAACUCCGUG